rnacentral:rRNA from 1 species
CAUACGGCUCAGUAACGCGUAGUCAACCUACCCUAUGGACGGAAAUAACCUCGGGAAACUGAGAAUAAUAUCCGAUAGAACAUUAUGCCUGGAAUGGUUUAUGUUCCAAAUGAUUUAUCGCCGUAGGAUGGGACUGCGGCCUAUCAGUUUGUUGGUGAGGUAAUGGCCCACCAAGACUAUUACAGGUACGGGCUCUGAGAGGAGUAGCCCGGAGAUGGGUACUGAGACACGGACCCAGGCCCUAUGGGGCGCAGCAGGCGAGAAAACUUUGCAAUGUGCGAAAGCACGACAAGGUUAAUCCGAGUGAUUUCUGCUAAAGAAAUCUUUUGUUAGUCCUAGAAACACUAACGAAUAAGGGGUGGGCAAGUUCUGGUGUCAGCCGCCGCGGUAAAACCAGCACCUCAAGUGGUCAGGAUGAUUAUUGGGCCUAAAGCAUCCGUAGCCGGCUCUGUAAGUCCUCGGUUAAAUCUGUACGCUUAACGUACAGGCUGCCGGGAAUACUGCAUAGCUAGGGAGUGGGAGAGGUAGACGGUACUCGGUAGGAAGGGGUAAAAUCCUUUGAUCUAUUGAUGACCACCUGUGGCGAAGGCGGUCUACCAGAACACGUCCGACGGUGAGGGAUGAAAGCUGGGGGAGCAAACCGGAUUAGAUACCCGGGUAGUCCCAGCUGUAAACUAUGCAAACUCAGUGAUGCAUUGGCUUGUGGCCAAUGCAGUGCUGCAGGGAAGCCGUUAAGUUUGCCGCCUGGGAAGUACGUACGCAAGUAUGAAACUUAAAGGAAUUGGCGGGGGAGCACCACAAGGGGUGAAGCCUGCGGUUCAAUUGGAUUCAACGCCGGG